UACGUAGGGGGCUAGCGUUGUCCGGAAUCAUUGGGCGUAAAGAGCGUGUAGGCGGCCCGGUAAGUCCGCUGUAAAAGUCAAAGGCUCAACCUUUGAAUGUCAGUGGAUACUGACGGUCUUGAGUCCGGGGAGAGGUGAGUGGAACUCCGAGUGUAGAGGUGAAAUUCGUAGAUAUUCGGAAGAACACCAGUGGCGAAGGCGGCUCACUGGCCCGGUACUGACGCUGAGGUGCGAAAGCGUGGGAGCAAACAGG
rnacentral:rRNA from 1 species